GUAUGUUGUGGUGCUCACAUAUACUAAAAUUGGAAUGAUACAGAGAACAUUAGCAAAGCUCCAGUUUAGGAUGACACACAAAUUCGUGAAGCAUUCCAUAUUUAA